rnacentral:rRNA from 1 species
GACGUAGGGCGCGAGCGUUGUCCGGAUUUAUUGGGCGUAAAGAGCUCGUAGGCGGCUUGUCGCGUCGACUGUGAAAACUCGGGGCUCAACUCCGAGCUUGCAGUCGAUACGGGCAGGCUAGAGUUCGGUAGGGGAGACUGGAAUUCCUGGUGUAGCGGUGAAAUGCGCAGAUAUCAGGAGGAACACCGGUGGCGAAGGCGGGUCUCUGGGCCGAUACUGACGCUGAGGAGCGAAAGCCAGGGGAGCAAACGGG